AACAUGGUGAUGAAAAAAGUAAGAAUCUUGUUUCUGAUACUGGGGUGGUUGGUAAUACUGAAGAAUCAGUGAAAGAAUUGAAAACAAAGGCUUUGGGGGAGUCUGUUUUGUGGAAUAAAUUGGAGAGCUGGGUUGAGCAGUAUAAGAAAGAUACAGAGUUUUGGGGUAUUGGUACUGGUCCUAUAUUUACCGUUUUUCAAGAUUCCGAGGGUAAGGUCAAAAGGGUAGUUGUAAGUGAGGAUGAAAUUUUGAAAAGAAGCAGAAUUGAUCCAACAUUGUAUCGGA
rnacentral:misc_RNA from 1 species